rnacentral:rRNA from 1 species
CCUACGGGUGGCUGCAGUAGGGAAUAUUGCUCAAUGGGGGAAACCCUGAAGCAGCAACGCCGCGUGGAGGAUGAAGGUUUUCGGAUUGUAAAACCCUUUUGUUAGAGAAGAUAAUGACGGUAUCUAACGAAUAAGCACCGGCUAACUCCGUGCCAGCAGCCGCGGUAAUACGGAGGGUGCAAGCGUUACUCGGAAUCACUGGGCGUAAAGAGCGCGUAGGCGGGAUAGCAAGUCAGAUGUGAAAUCCUAUGGCUCAACCAUAGAACUGCAUUUGAAACUGUGAUACUAGAGUUUGGGAGAGGUAGGUGGAAUUCUUGGUGUAGGGGUAAAAUGCGUAGAUAUCAAGAGGAAUACUGAUUGCGAAGGCGACCUGCUAGAACGUAACUGACGCUGAGGCGCGAAAGCGUGGGGAGCAAACAGGAUUAGAUACCCUUGUAGUC